GACGAACGCUGGCGGCGCGCUUAAUACAUGCAAGUCGAGCGAGAACCAGAGCUUCGGCUCUGGGGACAGCGGCGAACGGGUGAGUAACACGUGAGUAAUCUGCCCUCGGCACCGGGAUAGCCCGGGGAAACCCGGAUUAAUACCGGAUGGCCUCUCGAGCUUUCGGGCUCGUGAGAAAAGGUAGCUUCGGCCUCCGGCCGAGGAGGAGCUCGCGGCGGAUUAGCUUGUUGGUGGGGUAACGGCUCACCAAGGCGACGAUCCGUAGCUGGUCUGAGAGGACGAUCAGCCACACUGGGACUGAGACACGGGCCAGACUCCUACGGGAGGCAGCAGUGGGGAAUUUUGCGCAAUGGGCGAAAGCCUGACGCAGUAACGCCGCGUGGAGGAUGAAGGCCUUCGGGUCGUAAACUCCUGUCAGGGGGGAAGAGGACGGGGGUCCAAAGAGGGCUCGCGUUCAGACGGUACCCCCAAAGGAAGCCCCGGCUAAUUCCGUGCCAGCCGCCGCAGUAAGAC
rnacentral:rRNA from 1 species